rnacentral:rRNA from 1 species
UACGUAGGUGGCAAGCGUUAUCCGGAAUUAUUGGGCGUAAAGGGAGCGCAGGCGGUUUAAUAAGUCUGAGGUUAAAGUUCGGGGCUCAACCCCGUGAUGCCUUAGAAACUGUUAGACUAGAGUGCAGGAGAGGUGAGUGGAAUUCCAUGUGUAGCGGUAAAAUGCGUAGAUAUAUGGAGGAACACCAGUGGCGAAGGCGGCUCACUGGCCUGUAACUGACGCUGAGGCUCGAAAGCGUGGGGAGCAAAUAGG